ensembl:lncRNA
UAUAUAUAUCUAUAUAUACACACCGACUUAUUUAUUAUCAGUAGAAGUAUUAUUAUGAGGCAGGUUGUUGGAUCACAACUGUGAAACAUUUAACUGAAAGAACUUCAAAACUAAAUUAAUCUGAUAGAUUAACUCUUAACAAAGAGAAUUAAACCGUUCGGGAAUCAGUUUAAAUACAUUAUGCUUUGAACGAUGUUUUCUAUUAUAUAUAAUGUUUCAAUGCGGCCACAUGGGCGUCAACAAGUACAACGUGGAAGUGAAGUACAACUAAAUACUGGAGUGGAGUACAAGUACCUCACACCUGGUCGUGAGUCUAUGUACUUGUACGAGCGUGUUGUCGCUGGAGCAGCCGGAUCACAGAGACAGAACCGGGUCCUCGGACCUGAACGGACCCGUGAACCGGGGGACGAGUCGCCAUCACACCCCGUCGUCUCCACGUGCAGCUAACCGGGACUGUGUCGUCAUCAUCAUCAUCAUCAUCAUCAUCAUCAUCACAGAUCCGUCGGUCCUUCACCACGACCAGCCCCGGGGCGGCGGGUGAGUCAGAGUCGAGUCGGUCCCAGAACGAGCCUGAUCCGGAUGAGACCAGUUCAUAAACCUCGACAAACCCGCAGCAGCUCCGCCGUUUCCGCAUCGGCUAACGACGCGCUAGCUCCGCACAUCCCCGCCGCGCACAACCCGGAGCCACCGUCUGACCCAGCUCCAGCCCGCUGAGUGUGAGCCGGUCACAUCCGCACACACGCCGCGGGCUGAUGUCGGACCUUCGCCCGCGGCUGUUGAAACGUUCAGUUCGGUGGAAGUUGCGCGCUGUCAAGCUAACGUUAGCCGCCUAGCUUAACCGCUAACUGCUUAGCAUUGCUACGUAAACGUUAGCAAAACAACAUCCAGACACACAAAAGAACAAGCGGCGGUUUGACGCGCGUUUUUACCUUCAACUGUGUUUUUAGGAUCGUUCGGUUUCUCUCUCGUUCUUCCUCCAAACCGAGUGAUGCGUCGCAGUCCGAAGUAUUUACCGAGCGAAGUGUCUGAAGCGAAACAUCCGCGGCGCCUCGAAGCUUCGUGUCGGCGAGGAGGGAAAACUCUCUUCUUCUUCUACUGCUGCUGCUUCUUCUUCAUCCUGUGUCACUGGCGAGUCGCCACCAACGCGGAGCACUGGCGACACCAACAGGCUGAGUUAGAGCUCGACAAUCCACAAGGACUCAGGAAACGAGAUUGUGACUGGACUGACACCAACUUUAUGCAUAACAGAAGAUACGAACUGUGACAAGCUCUUUUCAAGAAAAGUUUCCUGUUUACAAUAGAAUCAGCUCCUAAAAGAACAGGUUUUCAGUUUGUACAGAGGAAACAAGAAGAUAGAUAUGAUUGAAAAUAAAAACAACAAACGGGCUGGAAUGUUGAAAUAAUGGAUUAGUGUGAAAGGAAUUUACAAGUAGAAAAAGCUGGGACAUUAAAAUAAUCAUUGAAAGCAAAGAGUAAAUGAUAUACAAUAAAGAUGGUGUCUGAACUUUUUCUCAUGUUUGUUAAUUGAUUGUGCAUCACAGGCUUAAAGAAUGACGUUUAUAUCUGUAUUUCAUUACUUUGAGAAUAAAUUCAUUCAUUUCUACAAUUGACAAAAUGCAUCUUAUCACAUCGGUAGUGAAAACAGUUUACUUUGAGAUGGACUGAAAACAAAAUGUUAUGAAUGGAAAUCAUAUCAUAUCUGUUGCACACGUGGACACAAAAGAGACUUCCAGGCGUUCUGGUUCCGGUUCUGGAAAUGCAGAGACACACACACAUCAGCACAACAUGUCUGCACACUGCAGCUUGUCUGUCUAAUGAGUGACGUGUGUUCCUUCCCCGUCUCACCCAGAGGACCCCUAAGCUGCCCAAAUUGUCUGAGUUGCCAUUCAAAUCAUCAUCAGUUUACUACAACAUUACAGUUGCUAGUGCACAUGAAUAUGUCAGGUGAACAUAAGUUAACAAAAUUAUAAUUAUAAUAAACAAUGAAAAAUAAGACGGGGGUGUCUAUUAAUAUGUCGUUAACAUCACUGUAUCCCACAUAUCAUUUUGUUCCUUUACCUUUCACAUGUGUGACUUAUGAAGUUUAAUUAGUGAAGUUUGGUUUCUGGAGCAUCACCCCCCCCCCAGUCCUCUCCCCUCCAUCUGUUCGGGUGGAAUC